rnacentral:lncRNA from 1 species
CCACCCCUCGUCUCCUCAACCGCCGCUGUAUCUCGCCAUCGCAUUGGCUAGCCUCUGAACCUUUCACCUUUUACCCGGCUUUCGCCGCCAAUCGCCUGGCUCCUUUCAUGCUGUGGGGAUGUGGAGCGUGUGAGCUGCGCAGGGUGUCAUUCUCGGAGCGGGCUUGCGUUGCGGGCGUUGGGCGGCCCCUGUUGGUAUGGGUGGAAGGGGUAGGGGAGGUGCUCCGUUUGCGUAGGGCCGGCAGCGUAGGGGGAAGGGAGGGGGAGGAGGCUAUCCUGGGCCCAGGUGAAUGGAGGAACCUGACAGUUGGGGGGAGUGAGGAGGCGGCGGCGGGGAAAUGGCGGCGGCGGCGGCAACAGCAGCACAAUGAGACGCGGCCUGUAGUGGGGGGAAGCGCCGGGCUGGGUCCCGUCCGAGCAGGUUACCUAGGGUGA